UUAUGGCACGGGAAUAAAUUCAGCAU
rnacentral:piRNA from 1 species